AUUGAACGCUGGCGGCAGGCCUAACACAUGCAAGUCGAGCGGAUGAAGGGAGCUUGCUCCUGGAUUCAGCGGCGGACGGGUGAGUAAUGCCUAGGAAUCUGCCUGGUAGUGGGGGAUAACGUCCGGAAACGGGCGCUAAUACCGCAUACGUCCUGAGGGAGAAAGUGGGGGAUCUUCGGACCUCACGCUAUCAGAUGAGCCUAGGUCGGAUUAGCUAGUUGGUGGGGUAAAGGCCUACCAAGGCGACGAUCCGUAACUGGUCUGAGAGGAUGAUCAGUCACACUGGAGCUGAGACACGGUCCAGACUCCUACGGGAGGCGGCAGUGGGGAAUAUUGGACAAUGGGCGAAAGCCUGAUCCAGCCAUGCCGCGUGUGUGAAGAAGGUCUUCGGAUUGUAAAGCACUUUAAGUUGGGAGGAAGGGCAGUAAGUUAAUACCUUGCUGUUUUGACGUUACCAACAGAAUAAGCACCGGCUAACUUCGUG
rnacentral:rRNA from 1 species